rnacentral:rRNA from 1 species
AUCCCCUGUGUGCCUUGCCGUCGUCAGUUCGUACUGUGAAGCAUCCUGUUAAGUCAGGCAACGAGCGAGACCCACGCCAGCAGUUGCCAGCUCGUCCUCCGGGGAUGGUGGGGACGCUGUUGGGACCGCCUCUGCUAAAGAGGAGGAAGGAAUGGGCAACGGUAGGUCAGCAUGCCCCGAAUUAUCUGGGCUACACGCGGGCUACAAUGGGUGGGACAAUGGGUAUCGACACCGAAAGGUGAAGGCAAUCUCCUAAACCCAUCCGUAGUUCGGAUUGUGGGCUGCAACUCGCCCACAUGAAGCUGGAAUCUGUAGUAAUCGUGUCCCAAAAUGGCACGGUGAAUAUGUCCCUGCUCCUU